GACAGAGGGUGCAAACGUUUGUUCGGAAUUACUGGGCGUAAAGCGCGUGUAGGCGGCUUUGCAAGUCGGGUGUGAAAGCCCUCAGCUCAACUGAGGAAGUGCGCCCGAAACUGCAGAGCUUGAGUGCCGGAGAGGGUGGCGGAAUUCCCCAAGUAGAGGUGAAAUUCGUAGAUAUGGGGAGGAACACCGGUGGCGAAGGCGGCCACCUGGACGGUAACUGACGCUGAGACGCGAAAGCGUGGGGAGCAAACAGG
rnacentral:rRNA from 1 species